GACAAUGGUGACACGAUGGUGGUGACACAGCGGUGGUGGCACAGUGGUGACAGCGGUGGCACAGCAGUGGUGACAGUGGUGACAAUGAUGGUGACAGCAGCGACACAUUGAUGGUGACAAUGGGGUGACAAUGGCUGUUCCUCAGGCGGUGUCGGGGGUGGCCGUGACGCGGUGGUGGUGGCACGGUGACAUCGAUGGUGACAGCAAUGGUGACACAGCGGUGGUGGCACAGCAAUGGUGACAACAAUGGCCUGCUGAUGGUGACAGCGGUGACACAGCAAUGGUGGCAUGAUGACAGUGAUGGUGACACAGCGGUGGUGGUGGCACAGUGACAGCGAUGGUGACACAGCGGUGGUGGCACAGCCACAGUGGAGGUGACAGUGGCACUGUGGUGACAACAGCCGCGCAGCAAGGUGACAGUGACACUGCCGGGCUGGGGACAGCAGGGACAACGGUGGCAUGGAGCGAGUGACAUCACAGUCCAUGUCACAGCCUGGAGCUGGUGUGUGACAGUGACACAUGACACAGUGACAGUGACACAGUGACAGUGACACACUGACAAUGUCCCCGUGUCCCCAGGUGACAGAGUACCGUGUCCCUGUCCCCCGUCCCCUGGGCCGCCUGUUGCUGCUGCAGGUGCACAAGGGGCCCUGUGGGGGUCUCCCCGAGAGCUCCUGGUACCUGGAGAGCGUCACCGUGUGGGGACAGCGCGGGGACACCCCCGGGAACACCCCCGGGGACAGUGACGGUGACAGCGACGGUGACAGCGACGGUGACAGUGAUGGUGACAGCGAUGGGGACAGCUGGGACGAGGAGGAGGAGGAGGAGGAGGAUGAAGGUGACAGCGAGGAGGAGGUGGCAGAGGAGGAGGAGGAGGAGGGGACAGGUGACAGCGAGGAGGUGACAGAGGAGGAGGAGCUGGAGGAGGAGCCUGAGGACAGCGCGAGUGACAUCGGCACUGCCAGCACAGGUGACACCGAUGACGUCGCUGACCUGGGGCCCUUCCACUUCCCGUGCUACCGCUGGCUCGAGGGGUACAACACCUGGGAGCUGCCCGAGGGUACAGGUGAGCACACCUGGGACACCUGGGGACACCGGGGGACAGCUGGGGGGACACCGGGUGACAGCUGGGGACACACCUGUGACACACCUGUUCACACCUGUCGAUGUCACCGCAGCCACCACGCCGGCCAUGGAGCGACACCCGCGGCUGCAGCGGCAGCGCCGCCGACACCUGGUGCAACAGCGCCGGCGCUACAGGUGAGGGGAGGGGACAGCUGGGGCUGGCACCUGGGGAGGGGGGGUGACAUCGCCGGGUG
rnacentral:lncRNA from 1 species